GGAUCCGACUUUGAUCCUGGCUCAGGACGAACGCUGGCGGCGUGCUUUAUACAUGCAAGUCGAACGAGAAUCUGACUUCGGUCAGAGGAAAGUGGCGGACGGGUGAGUAAAAUGUAGAGAAUCUGCCCUUGAGUGGGGGACAACAGUUGGAAACGAUUGCUAAUACCCCAUACGAGAUAGGCUGCAAUGUUUAUCUUGAAAACUCCGGUGCUCAAGGAUGAGUCUGCAUCUGAUUAGCUAGUUGGUGGUGUAAUGGACUACCAAGGCGAUGAUCAGUAGCUGGUUUGAGAGGAUGAUCAGCCACAAUGGGACUGAGACACGGCCCAUACUCCUACGGGAGGCAGCAGUAGGGAAUUUUGCGCAAUGGGGGAAACCCUGACGCAGCAACGCCGCGUGAUUGAUGAAGCCCUUCGGGGUGUAAAGAUCUGUCAGUAGGGACGAAUAAUGACUGUACCUACAGAGGAAGCACCGGCUAACUCCGUGCCAGCAGCCGCGGUAAUACGGGGGGUGCGAGCGUUGUCCGGAAUCAUUGGGCGUAAAGAGUUCGUAGGUGGUAUGUUAAGUCUGGUGUUAAAUUCCGAAGCUCAACUUCGGUACGGCACUGGAUACUGGCAAACUUGAAUGCGG
rnacentral:rRNA from 1 species